UAUUCAUCAUCACUUUUUGUCCUAUCGUCUCCCCUUUAGAUCACUUAUCUCUUCCCCUCCUCCCUCUCAGCACCAUCUCGGACCCCCUCCCCCCUCCCCCCCUACGCUCCCCUCCCCCUACCACCGCCUUUGCCACCACCACCUUCUUGACUACCCCUUUAAGAGCAAUAACUUAUUUUUCGCAAACCUGUGGGAUCCGGACUAGCAAUGGAUACAGCAUGGUAUGUGAUGGGGUCAAGGUCGCAUCCCUCAACUGCAAGAUAGGCCUAACUCGGAAGAUGAUUAUUUACAAUUGAUGCAAUGGAUGUCUUAUCUGGCAUUGUGCUCAUCAAAUGUCAACUUCUUCCAGGGGUUAUUAUUGACUUCACUUAUUCAGAUGCAUAAAUUGGAGUUGCACUUGCGAUAGCUCUCCGUAUGAAAACAUAACGUUGCACACACAUGCUUUGCCUGCGAGCAAGCCACACGAAAACGGCAGCUGUUGACGCAUGCAGCAGCCUACUCUCAACAGACGAGACGAAGAGUAGGUUACAGAAACGAGCUAGUUUUCAUUAAUUGUAUUUCAAUAGGAAGCAUGUAUAAGUAAGUUGAGCUUUUUCUAAUUGAAAAUAUGCCUUAUUUCUGCACCCCUAUCAUAUCUGUGAACUAUGGUGCGAUGUAAUGAAUGCAAACAUCCAUCGCCAUUGGUGCAUGUAAAACCAGCGAGGAGAACUAGAUCGUGAAUUUCUAAUGUAAGUAUGACUUUGCCUUCCACCUGUUUUACGUGCAGCAUGCAUGGCGUUCAGACGCGCAGUGUAUGAAAGCAGACGUCUGUUGAUCGUCGCAUGCAUAUAUUAACGGUCAACGUUAGGAGUGUGCCUUCGAUGUCAGUUGGAGGUUAGGCUAUAUAUUGUGUAGCUUAAUCUGCAGCUCAUAAUGCAGCUAAGCAAUUGAAAUAGGUAAGUCUGAGCGACUUUAUGUAUGAAUGAAUAAAAUAUUUACGGUGAACUAUA